UUGUAAAUAAGGGCUAUGAUGGAGGAGCUGCAGAUGUUUCAUCUUGUGGAGUGAUUCUUUUCGAAUUACUUGCUGGUCAUCUGCCAUUUGAUGACUCUAGCCCGAUGAAUUUGUACAAAAAGAUUUGAGUGCAAGCUAUUGGGGGGCUUCAUAGAUUUACAAAAUAGCUUUGGAAUUUUGAUUGGAAACGACUAUUUCUGCACAUAUUGUUUGUUGCAUUGGAAAAUGAAAGAAUUAGUUCCUUCCUUUUUGACUUUGCUGGAAAUGGGUAAGGCUGUGGACCUUGGUAAGUCUCUCAUCUCCAUCUCUACUCUCUUUCUCUACACACACUAAUAUUGUUUUUGCUAAAGGAAAAUAUUUGGAAAGA